UACGGAGGGGGCUAGCGUUGUUCGGAAUUACUGGGCGUAAAGCGCACGUAGGCGGACCAGAAAGUUGGGGGUGAAAUCCCGGGGCUCAACCUCGGAACUGCCUUUGAUACUGGGUGUCUAGAGUUCGAGAGAGGUGAGUGGAAUUCCGAGUGUAGAGGUGAAAUUCGUAGAUAUUCGGAGGAACACCAGUGGCGAAGGCGGCUCACUGGCUCGAUACUGACGCUGAGGUGCGAAAGCGUGGGGAGCAAACAGG
rnacentral:rRNA from 1 species